CCCCGGCGACAUGACCUUUCGCAGCUCUGUCACUCCAUGUGAAGAGGGCGGGGCUUCGUGAACUGUCCAAUCAGAGGCGCCACGUGGAAGGUGGGUGGGGCAAUGCGGCAUAAAAGAGGUGGGCGUCGUACGUCGUUACGCAGCGCGGUUGCUGGGCACCUCGACUAUCACCUGACCGUAGUAAUAUCUCCCGCUACGCGCGUUGUGACCAAUGCUGCAUACAGGAGAUGAGGGAGGACGGCCAGACACCUGGAAGCCGGAAAAUGAUUCUUCACGGAAAAAUCCAGCAAAGCCUACUCCUUCUGGAUGAAGUUCAGAGUCACAUCUUCAAAGACCACCAAGCCGUGACAUAUCCCAGAUAUGUGUAGAGGAGGACAGGUGAGACGGACAGCACUGGGGAUCUAGACUCAAUUCAUGAGAGUUCACACUGAAGCGGUGUCAUUGUCUCGGAGCCAUGGAAAACUAGGAC
rnacentral:lncRNA from 10 species